UUGCUCACUUCAGCAGCACAUAUACUAAAAUUGGAAUAAUACCAAGAAGAUUUGCAUGACCCCUGCACAAGGAUGACACAGAAAUUCAUGAAGAAUUCCAUAUUUUA